rnacentral:rRNA from 1 species
CGCACGGGUGCGUAACGCGUAUGCAAUCUACCUUUUACAGGGGAAUAGCCCAGAGAAAUUUGGAUUAAUGCCCCAUAGUAUAUAAACUUCGCAUGUUGUUUAUAUUAAAGUUCCAACGGUAAAAGAUGAGCAUGCGUCCCAUUAGUUAGUUGGUAAGGUAACGGCUUACCAAGACGAUGAUGGGUAGGGGUCCUGAGAGGGAGAUCCCCCACACUGGUACUGAGACACGGACCAGACUCCUACGGGAGGCAGCAGUGAGGAAUAUUGGACAAUGGGCGCAAGCCUGAUCCAGCCAUGCCGCGUGCAGGAAGAAGCAUCUAUGGUGUGUAAACUGCUUUUGUACAGGAAGAAACACUCCCUCGUGAGGGAGCUUGACGGUACUGUAAGAAUAAGGAUCGGCUAACUCCGUGCCAGCAGC